rnacentral:rRNA from 1 species
UGUGGAAACACUUGGACAACCAGGAGGUUGGCUUAGAAGCAGCCAUCCUUUAAAGAAAGCGUAACAGCUCACUGGUCAAGUGGGUCCGUGCCGACAAUAUAACGGGGCUAAAGCUCGAUACCGAAGCUGUGGAUUACCUGCCAUAAGAAGCAGUAAUGGUAGGGGAGCAUUCCAUAGGCCUGUGAAGUCAGAUGGUGACAUCUGGUGGAGGUAUUGGAAGAGACCCUGCCGGCAUAAGUAGCGAUAAUCGAGGUGAAAACCCUCGACGCCGAAAAUCUAAGGUUUCCUGGGGAAGGUUAAUCCGCCCAGGGUCAGUCGGUUCCUAAGCUCAGGCCGAAAGGCGUAGGCGAUGGACAUGCCGUUAAUAUUCGGCAACCACCCGUGUGGCGUUACCAGCAAUGGGGUGACGCAGAAGGAUAGGCUGUCCCUCCGAUCGGAAGUGGGGGGCUAAACCUGUAGGGGGUCCAACUAGGCAAAUCCGGUUGGGCAUUAACCCUGAGAGGUGAUGGGGAGCCGUAAGGCACAAACCAGCUGAUUCCACACUGCCAGGAAAAUCCUCUAGCGAGCCGCAUAGGUGACCGUACCGUAAACCGACACAGGUAGAUGAGGAGAGAAUCCUAAGGCGCUUGAGAGAACACUCGUUAAGGAACUCGGCAAAUUGGCUCCGUAACCUCGGGAGAAGGAGCGCCCACAUUAGGUGUAGCCCCUCGCGGGUGAAGCUGAAGUGGGUUGCAGCGAAUAGCGUCAGGCGACUGUUUACUAAAAACACAGCACUCUGCAAAGACAAAAAAUCGACGUAUAGGGUGUGACGCCUGCCCGGUGCCGGAAGGUUAAAAGGAGGGGUCAUGGGAAUUUAUUCUCAGAAGCUCUGAAUUGAAGCCCCGGUGAACGGCGGCCGUAACUAUAACGGUCCUAAGGUAGCGAAAUUCCUUGUCGGGUAAGUUCCGACCUGCACGAAUGGCGUAACGAUCUGACGACUGUCUUAACGAGUGACUCAGCGAAUUUGUAAUACCGGUGAAGAUGCCGGUUACCCGCCACUAGACGGAAAGACCCCGUGCACCUUUACUACACUUUAGCAAUGUACUUCGGUGCGUUAUGCGCAGGAUAGGUGGGAGGUUUUGAACUGUGGGUUUCGGCCUGCAGGGAGCCGACGGUGAGAUACCACUCUUAUCGUACUGAGGUACUAACCUACGCUCGUGAUCCGGGCGAGGGACAUUGCUUGACGGGUAGUUUGACUGGGGCGGUCGCCUCCUAAAUUGUAACGGAGGCGCUCGAAGGUAUGCUCAGGCUGUUUGGAAAUCAGCCAUCGAGUGUAAAGGCAUAAGCAUGCUUAACUGCGAGACAGACAAGUCGAGCAGAUGGGAAACCAGGACUUAGUGAUCCGGUGGUUCUGAAUGGAAGGGCCAUCGCUCAACGGAUAAAAGGUACGCCGGGGAUAACAGGCUGAUCUUGCCCAAGAGUUCAUAUCGACGGCAAGGUUUGGCACCUCGAUGUCGGCUCAUCGCAUCCUGGAGCUGAAGAAGGUUCCAAGGGUUGGGCUGUUCGCCCAUUAAAGCGGUACGUGAGCUGGGUUUAGAACGUCGCGAGACAGUUCGGUCCCUAUCUGUGGUGGGCGCAGGAUAUUUGAGAGGAUCUAUCCUUAGUACGAGAGGACCGGGAUGGACGAACCUCUUGUGCACCAGUUGUCGUGCCAACGGCAUAGCUGGAUAGCGAAGUUCGGAAGGGAUAAACGCUGAAAGCAUAUAAGCGUGAAACCCACCUCAAGACAAGAUAUCCCCACCCGCGAGGGUGCUGAAGACCCCUGGAAGACCACCAGGUGAUAGGCUGGGUGUGGAAGCGCAGUAAUGCGUGAAGCUUACCAGUACUAAUCGGUCGUGAGGCUUGACC